AUACAUGCAAGUCGAACGAGUUCUCGUUGAUGAUCGGUGCUUGCACCGAGAUUCAACAUGGAACGAGUGGCGGACGGGUGAGUAACACGUGGGUAACCUGCCCUUAAGUGGGGGAUAACAUUUGGAAACAGAUGCUAAUACCGCAUAGAUCCAAGAACCGCAUGGUUCUUGGCUGAAAGAUGGCGUAAGCUAUCGCUUUUGGAUGGACCCGCGGCGUAUUAGCUAGUUGGUGAGGUAAUGGCUCACCAAGGCGAUGAUACGUAGCCGAACUGAGAGGUUGAUCGGCCACAUUGGGACUGAGACACGGCCCAAACUCCUACGGGAGGCAGCAGUAGGGAAUCUUCCACAAUGGACGCAAGUCUGAUGGAGCAACGCCGCGUGAGUGAAGAAGGCUUUCGGGUCGUAAAACUCUGUUGUUGGAGAAGAAUGGUCGGCAGAGUAACUGUUGUCGGCGUGACGGUAUCCAACCAGAAAGCCACGGCUAACUACGUGCCAGCAGCCGCGGUAAUACGUAGGUGGCAAGCGUUAUCCGGAUUUAUUGGGCGUAAAGCGAGCGCAGGCGGUUUUUUAAGUCUGAUGUGAAAGCCCUCGGCUUAACCGAGGAAGCGCAUCGGAAACUGGGAAACUUGAGUGCAGAAGAGGACAGUGGAACUCCAUGUGUAGCGGUGAAAUG
rnacentral:rRNA from 1 species